rnacentral:rRNA from 1 species
UACGUAGGGGGCAAGCGUUAUCCGGAUUUACUGGGUGUAAAGGGAGCGUAGACGGUUAUGCAAGUCUGAAGUGAAAGCCCAAGGCUCAACCUGUGGCCUGCAUUUGAAACUGUUUUUCUUGAGUGCUGGAGAGGCAAUCGGAAUUCCGUGUGUAGCGGUGAAAUGCGUAGAUAUACGGAGGAACACCAGUGGCGAAGGCGGAUUGCUGGACAGUAACUGACGCUGAGGCGCGAAAGCGUGGGGAGCAAACAGG